CAACCCAAUGUGACCAUACCAAACUGUUGCCUCGGCGGGGUCACGCCCCGGGUGCGUCGCAGCCCCGGAACCAGGCGCCCGCCGGAGGGACCAACCAAACUCUUUCUGUAGUCCCCUCGCGGACGUUAUUUCUUACAGCUCUGAGCAAAAAUUCAAAAUGAAUCAAAACUUUCAACAACGGAUCUCUUGGUUCUGGCAUCGAUGAAGAACGCAGCGAAAUGCGAUAAGUAAUGUGAAUUGCAGAAUUCAGUGAAUCAUCGAAUCUUUGAACGCACAUUGCGCCCGCCAGUAUUCUGGCGGGCAUGCCUGUCCGAGCGUCAUUUCAACCCUCGAACCCCUCCGGGGGUCCGGCGUUGGGGAUCGGGAACCCCUAAGACGGGAUCCCGGCCCCGAAAUACAGUGGCGGUCUCGCCGCAGCCUCUCAUGCGCAGUAGUUUGCACAACUCGCACCGGGAGCGCGGCGCGUCCACGUCCGUAAAACACCCAACUUCUGAAAUGUUGACCUCGGAUCAGGUAGGAAUACCCGCUGAACUUAAGCAUA
rnacentral:rRNA from 1 species